UUUUGCAUUAAAAUCUUAAUGCGGUUCACAGAAUAGAUCUACCUACCAAGUUUCAACAGUAUAGCUCUUAUAGUUUCGGAAAAAAAUGGCUGUGACAUACGGACGGACAGACAGACAUGACGAAUCUAUAAGGGUUCCGCUUUUUGCCAUUUGGCUACGGCAUUUGUACUUGUAAGUACAAAAUUAGAUAAGGGCACAAUAAGGGUUUUGAAAUGAGAUGAAAUGAGUGGUAAUAUUACUGCGGAUUGCGAUAAAUAUUAAGUUGAAACUUUAAAUGAUUAAAGAAAAUGAUUUAUGAAUUAGAUGCUGUUACACCAUACCUAAGGCAUUACAAUCAAUUUGAUAUACCUACUUGAAAAUGAGUUCAACCGUCAAUAUAAAAGUGGAGAGAAAUAUCAACAGGCUCAGUUUCUAAACUGGACACAAUGAAACUAUUAUCCUGCUUUUUAUUGGUGACCACUAUAGGCCUGGCCUGUGGCUUUGCCUACUAUCCACCGCCACCGCCACCGACGCCGCCGAGUCCAAUGCAUGCGUGCGGUUGUCCUUCGCCACGUCUAUUACCAUAUGAACCGUUGUGUGGAAGCAACUACAAGACCUACCCCAACAAAUGCGAGUUGGGCUGCGACCAUAGCCAAGGUGUUGGCGGUAUAUUUGUACUGUACAAAGGACCCUGUGUGUCCCAUUAUCCUCCCCCUCCCACACCUUCCCCGGGGUCAAUAAUAAUUGCAGGCGGCCCACAAGGCGCGGGAAGCCCUGCCUAUUAGGCAGUUAAAUUGAUUAAAUUAUAAAAAGAACAUGAAAUGUUCGUGAUCUAUAUUUAUUUUUAUGUAUUAAAAAUAUAUUGUAUUUAUGUUCAUUUUUUAUUUUUUUUACCUAUUUAUGGGGUUUAAAAUAAUUGUUGAAUUAAAGUAUAUGUAUUUAUAGUU